UUCAGUCCGUUGCUUUCGUUUAGUUGGUGUUCGACAGUUAAAGCGGAAACAUUUGCACGUUUUGUUAAAGCGAAUUUUUCAGAUCUUCACGAACUUUCGCUACUAAUUCAUGACCUACGGCAAAACAGCUACAGCAUAGGCAUUUAGUAAAACAUAAACAAAAACAAACCAUACAAACAAUCCGGCUGAGUGUGGUAAAUUUCAAUCAAUUUACUCGUAUGUUUUCGAAAUAUUCUUUUUUAUCGAUUCAAUAAAGAUGAACUCCAGUAAUAUAUCCAAUACACAACAUUUGUUUAGCGACUUAUCGCUUAAAUCGAAAAAGGCGAAUCCAGCACCAUCAAAAGUAACCGUAAAUUACGACAGAUCCGUGUUCAAGAGCUCACCCGAGAUCUAUGAUUUGGUUCGUUUUCAGCAAGCAAUUAUGUUGAAAUACGUCCAGACCAACGAUCUGCACUACAAAAAUAUGUACGAUGCUUUGACUCCACAGAUUGAGGAGAAAAUUCGGGCAUUCAAAAAGUUAAAAUGAAAAUUUUACGCGGUGUCAGUUGUCGGAGGUGCCCUUCGUCAAUACAUUUAUACCGUCACACCUUAUACAAGCCGAAAAAUUACGUGUACGUGUGUAUGUGUGUGUAUGUGCGGUAAUUUUCGUUUAAUAAUUUACAAUUUUCAUUUACGAAACCAUUGUUUAUGAGAAGAUAUCGCAACAAUUUCUUUUUUAAAUAUUUUAUUUACAAUUAGGAAUAAAAAAAAAAUAUUUGUGCCGUGUUCUGUGAGUGACAAAGUUAAAUAAUUAUUCGUUUUUGUGUUGAAAAGAUAAAAUAAAAAAGAAGAGUUAUGUGCGACCACAAUAUUGCAGACCAUAAACUACACAAACAAACAAAAACAAUUUUUAAAUUCAAGAUGCAGUUAAUCGAUGUGUGUAGUUGUCACCUUAAUAAUUAUGAUGAUGAUGUGUGUUCUAGUUUUAAGUACAUUAGUGGGCGGUGUUGUUACAACACACCCGAUAAAAAUUAUCCUCCAGACAAAUCAAAUUCUAUUAACAUAAAAUUAGCGAUUGUUAGUCUAACCAUGAUGAAUUUGUGCAACUUUAUUCCAAUCAAUAAAAUCUAUCCUUUCAAAAUUUUUAAACAAAAAAAAAA